rnacentral:rRNA from 1 species
UACGUAGGGGGCAAGCGUUGUUCGGAUUCAUUGGGCGUAAAGAGCGCGUGAGGCUGCGGGGCAAGUCGGGUGUGAAAUCUCAGAGCUCAACUCUGAAACUGCACUCGAUACUGCUUUGCUUGAGGACUGGAGAGGAGAUUGGAAUUCACGGUGUAGCAGUGAAAUGCGUAGAUAUCGUGAGGAAGACCAGUGGCGAAGGCGGAUCUCUGG